GAUGAACGCUGGCGGCGUGCCUAACACAUGCAAGUCGAGCGGAAGGACGAGCUGUUUGCUUCUCUUAUGUUAGCCGCGGACGGGGGAGUAACGCGUGAAUCACCUACCUAUAGGCCUCGAGUAACUUCGAGACAUCGGAGCUAAUACCUGAUACUAUUUUGAACCGCAUGGUGCAACAGUGAGAGACGGUCUUGCUGCCACUUAUAGAUGGAUCCGCGCUGGAUUAGCUAGUUGGUGAGGUAACGGUUUACUAAGGCAACGAUGGAUAGCCGACCUGAGAGGGUGAUCGGCCACACUGGAACUGAGACAGGGUCCAGACUCCUACGGGAGGCAGCAGUAGGGAAUCGGAAGCAAGGGGCGAAAGCCUGAGGGAGCAACGCCGCGUGCGUGAUGAAGGUCUUCGGAUCGUAAAACUCUGUUAUUAGGGAAGAACAGAUGGGUAAGUAACUGUGAACAUCGUGACGGUACCGAAACAGAAAGCACCGGCUAACUACGUG
rnacentral:rRNA from 1 species